rnacentral:rRNA from 1 species
UACGUAGGGUGCAAGCGUUGUCCGGAAUUAUUGGGCGUAAAGAGCUCGUAGGCGGUGUGUCGCGUCGGCCGUGAAAACCUGGGGCUUAACUCUGGGCGUGCGGUCGAUACGGGCAUCACUAGAGUUCGGCAGGGGAGACUGGAAUUCCUGGUGUAGCGGUGAAAUGCGCAGAUAUCAGGAGGAGCACCGGUGGCGAAGGCGGGUCUCUGGGCCGAUACUGACGCUGAGGAGCGAAAGCAUGGGUAGCGAACAGG